CCUUGAGAAACGGCCUAUGUUGUUGCUGAAACGAAACCGUCCCGUUAGCACACAUGUAAUUCCGGAGGUAAACAUAAUAUUCACUACAGUUGUGUGUGGAAAGUAUUUUGGCACAUCUUAUAGUUGUCAGAGGAAGCGAUUGGGGCACGUUUAAUGACAGUGUCUUCUGUUUCUGUCAAAGCCAGGAUCAUUUUAAAAAACAAACACCUGGUUGGGUUAUUUUUGACCCAGCAAUUGGUUUAUUAAUUCCCGCACUUUCUGGAUUCUUCGCUUCUGACUGGAUCACGCUACUCGGAGGUGGUAUUUCAUGUUAUGAGAAACAUGCCUCAUCGUUAAGUCGUAGUUGACCGAGCUAUAUCUGCAUUCUUUUGAAAUAUUCAGGUUCAGUAGAAUCCACUGAAUUGACCCCAACAGAUCAUAUCACCAUGGCAGUGGAACUUUUUUUAGCAUUUGCAGUUUGUCAGAUUUUGUAAAGCACCCCUGAGAGGAAAUCCGUAUUAAACCGUUAAGACUCCUUGUGAGACUCCUUGCAUCCCAUCUGCUGGAAACCAAUGGUGAAACCGAGUCUUAUGGGGGCGUACACACCAAACGCAAAUUCAAAGAUUUGCGCAAGUAAAUUACAUACAAAGUCAAUGCAAAGACACAAACUUGCGCGUGAUUGCCGCAAACAUGUUCUAUUUGUUUCAAACUUAUCUGCCACAAUAUAUUCAACUCAAGUGGAAAAUGCGCAGGACACAAAGUUAAAUCUUCUGCUAAAGGGGAAACAGCACUGAAGAUGCCAACUCUGCUAGCUCCAUCCAUUUACAGGGGAGGAGGAAAAGUCUUCAGACCUACCACUGUGGAGGCCCAGAGGUCCUUUAUUGACAUGCAACCUGUGGGGACCAACAUGGUGGAAUAUCUUCAAAAUCAGAGAUGACUGGAGCACUGUUGCAUGUUUUGUGCCUUGGGGACGAGCCAAGAAGGACCUGCCAGACCUUUGCCAUUGUUGGAGGCAAUGCCUUUGAGACAGACUCUAUGGUGAAAGAUGUUGUUAAUUUUUUUUGUCUUUGAUGUUAACUACACAAAGCAAUGUAUUCCCACCUGGGAGUUUCACCAGAAUGCCAUUCAUCAGAUUGAUGGACAUGCCUCAUCUGUAAUAAUUUUGAGGACAACAUUUAAUCACUAAUAAUUAAAGAGCACCUAUUUCAUUGCUAUGUUUGAAAGAUUCGCCCACAAUGCAAUGCCAACAGGAGUUUACUUACAGGCUGUGAGUUCAAGCGGGAGGGAUUAUGAUAAUGUGGGUCUUGUCUACGUCACCAAUCCCGGGAAGUAAACUGUUGCCUACGAUCCGUGUGUUUGUUGUAGCCCAAGAAAAGAGAUCACUUGCAUCAUUGUUUACUUUGGGGUUUGUACCUUUUGCAUAUCGUUAACAUGAACUAAUACACAAUUACACACCAAAGGAAAUGUAAAAAUGUGAAUCGGACCAUAGCUGCUCUUUAAAAAAAAGUUUUGUUGCAGGGCUUCUUGUUUUUAAGAACAUUUUUGAUAAAUAAAAUGUAAAGUAAAUGAAUUGGUAAUCAUAAUAGUUUAAAUAUUAAGAGUUAUGAAGUCUGUGGGGAUU